rnacentral:rRNA from 1 species
GGUCCAAGUAAUAAAGAUUCUAUGGUGA